rnacentral:rRNA from 1 species
UACAGAGGUCUCAAGCGUUGUUCGGAUUCAUUGGGCGUAAAGGGUGCGUAGGCGGCGCGGUAAGUUCGGGUGUGAAAUCUCGGAGCUUAACUCCGAAACUGCAUUCGAUACUGCCGUGCUUGAGGACUGGAGAGGAGACUGGAAUUUACGGUGUAGCGGUGAAAUGCGUAGAUAUCGUAAGGAAGACCAGUGGCGAAGGCGGGUCUCUGGACAGUUCCUGACGCUGAGGCACGAAGGUCAGGGGGAGCAAACGGG